GAAUUCACUAGUGAUUCAGGCCUAACACAUGCAAGUCGAGCGGGGUUUUCGGACCUAGCGGAGAACGGGUGAGUAAUGCGUAGGAAGCUGCCCGAUAGAGGGGGAUACCAGUUGGAAACGACUGUUAAUACCGCAUAAUGUCUACGGACCAAAGUGUGGGACCUUCGGGCCACAUGCUAUCGGAUGCGCCUACGUGGGAUUAGCUAGUUGGUGAGGUAAUGGCUCACCAAGGCGACGAUCUCUAGCUGGUUUGAGAGGAUGAUCAGCCACACUGGAACUGAGGGACGGUCCAGACUCCUACGGGAGGCAGCAGUGGGGAAUAUUGGACAAUGGGCGCAAGCCUGAUC
rnacentral:rRNA from 1 species